rnacentral:tRNA from 1 species
GAACGGGGUGUGGCUCAGUGGUAGAGCAUCCGCUUGGCAUGCAAACAGUCCCAGGUUCAAUCCCUGGCAUCUUCA